ensembl:scaRNA small Cajal body-specific RNA 2
GUUUUGCGGCGGGAGCGCGGCUGGGGUUACGGAUGGUGUGGUGUGCAGCGGUGCGGCGUGGAAGGCGCGUCUGGGCCGAGUGUGAGUGGAUGUGCGAAUGUGUGUGCGCGUGGGGCGUGCUAGGCGAGCGCGUGCGUCCGCCCCCACGCCCCUCCCCCCGCCUACACCUUGAUCUUAUUUGAUCGGGUCGCGCCUCCGCCCCGCCGGGCCGCCCCGAAAUGAAAAGCUGUCCUCCUGCGAAGCCCCCUCCACGGGGCGCUGUGCGGCGAGGCCUCUUGGGCGGUGGCGGCACCGCGGUUCCCGAGGCCCAGAGCUGGUCCUGUGGGUCCGGCGCUCAGAGGUGAUGAAUUGAUCAGAUAGACGAGGCUGGGUGUAUCCCGGCCGCUGAUUACCGAGGCGAUUCUGAUCUGA